AGAUACACUAUGCUGAGGCUGAGGAUCAGAUACACUAUGCUGAGGCUGAGGACCAGAUACACUAUGCUGAGGACCAGAUACACUAUGCUGAGGCUGAGGAUCAGAUACACUAUGCUGAGGCUGAGGAUCAGAGAUACUAUGCCGAGGUUGAGGACCAGAUACACCAUGCUGAGGCUGAGGACCAGAUACACCAUGCUGAGGCUGAG
rnacentral:lncRNA from 1 species